CAGCCUCUCAAAACCCUCCCCUAAAUCGACAAUAGGAUCAAUAGAAAUCGAUGAGUUGAUUUGGUUCUCCCUCAAAUCCCAUCGUUGCUCGAUCAACCACCGCUUGAGGAGGCGCAUCGCCGAGCCUCCUCCAUCUCCAACCUCUGUGGUAACCACCGCGGCCAAGAUCUAGCCGAGUAACGCCAUCAUCUCUCACUGUUCUUCAUUGUCCCAGAGACCGCGAAAGAGCUUGCUGGAAACCCCUUUCGCCACCGCCGCCUCUCCCCCAUCCUUGUCCGUCUCACCGCCACAGUUAACUCCGACCUCCACCUUAGACCACCAAUGCCCCGUAUCUCCUCUGCCGACGUGACCGGGUUUGAAGUUUGAACAAGAGCUGUCUGCCUCUUUCCCUUUUCAACUGUUAGGAUUGAUACUUGAAUUUGAAAGUUACAGUUGCAUCUGCAGAAAGAAGUUUCUCCAAGUUGAAGUUGAUCAAGACUUAUCUCCGCUCAACUAUGUCGCAAGAUAGAUGUAAUGCAUUGGCUAUGUUGUCUAUUGAGAAAAAAAUGCUCGAACAACUUGAUUAUGUAAACUUGAUUGAUAUUUUUGCCGAGAGUAGAUUUUAAUUGAUCAUUUAGAAAAUUUUUGAUUUUCUUCUUUGAUAUGGUAUGAAUAUUUAUUUAUUUUUUUGAUGUUUUAUUAUGAAAAAAUAAAAAUUGAAUGUACACUGAUUCAGGCUCAUUUUUACCUUUCGACUUAGAACUUACAAACUCUCAGGUAUGGCACUGCUCA